GGUCAAGUGAAGAAGCGCAUACGGUGGAUGCCUUGGCAAUCAGAGGCGAUGAAAGACUGGUAGCCUGCGAUAAGCGUCGGGGAGGCGGCAAACGGCCCGUGAUCCGGCGAUCUCUGAAUGGGGAAACCCACCCGGCACAAGCCGGGUAUCUUGUCCUGAAUCCAUAGGGGCAAGAGGCGAACCAGGGGAACUGAAACAUCUAAGUACCCUGAGGAACAGAAAUCAACCGAGAUUCCCUUAGUAGUGGCGAGCGAACGGGGAGCAGCCCUUAAGUUGGCUUGGGAUUAGUGGAAGGGAGUAGGACGGCGCACGUGAAACGUUGUCUGAACAUGGGGGGACCAUCCUCCAAGGCUAAAUACUCCUGACUGACCGAUAGUGAACCAGUACCGUGAGGGAAAGGCGAAAAGAACCCCGGAGAGGGGAGUGAAAUAGAACCUGAAACCGUAUGCGUACAAGCAGUGGGAGCCCACUUCGUUGGGUGACUGCGUACCUUUUGUAUAAUGGGUCAGCGACUUAUAUUCAGUGGCAAGCUUAACCGUAUAGGGGAGGCGUAGCGAAAGCGAGUCUUAAUAGGGCGCCAAGUCGCUGGGUAUAGACCCGAAACCGGGCGAUCUAUCCAUGAGCAGGUUGAAGGUUAGGUAACACUGACUGGAGGACCGAACCGACUCCCGUUGAAAAGGUAGCGGAUGACUUGUGGAUCGGAGUGAAAGGCUAAUCAAGCUCGGAGAUAGCUGGUUCUCCUCGAAAGCUAUUUAGGUAGCGCCUCGUGUAUCACUGCCGGGGGUAGAGCACUGUUUCGGCUAGGGGGUCAUCCCGACUUACCAAACCGAUGCAAACUCCGAAUACCGGCAAGUGCCAGCACGGGAGACACACGGCGGGUGCUAACGUCCGUCGUGAAAAGGGAAACAACCCAGACCGUCAGCUAAGGUCCCAAAGUCCUGGUUAAGUGGGAAACGAUGUGGGAAGGCUUAGACAGCUAGGAGGUUGGCUUAGAAGCAGCCACCCUUUAAAGAAAGCGUAAUAGCUCACUAGUCGAGUCGGCCUGCGCGGAAGAUGUAACGGGGCUCAAACCAGGCACCGAAGCUACGGGUGCAUCGCAAGAUGCGCGGUAGAGGAGUUCUGUACGCCUGUGAAGGUGAGUCGAGAGGCUUGCUGGAGGUAUCAGAAGUGCGAAUGCUGACAUGAGUAACGACAAUGGGUGUGAAAAACAUCCACGCCGAAAGACCAAGGGUUCCUGCGCAACGUUAAUCGACGCAGGGUGAGUCGGCCCCUAAGGCGAGGCUGAAAAGCGUAGUCGAUGGGAAACGGGUUAAUAUUCCCGUACUUCUGGUUGCUGCGAUGGGGGGACGGAGAAGGCUAGGCCAGCUUGGCGUUGGUUGUCCAAGUUUAAGGCGGUAGGCCGAUCACUCAGGCAAAUCCGGGUGGUCAAGGUCGAGAACCGAUGACGAGCCUUCCUUUACGAAGGCGAAGUGGUUGAUGCCCUGCUUCCAAGAAAAGCCUCUAAGCUUCAGGUAACCAGGAACCGUACCCCAAACCGACACAGGUGGUCGGGUAGAGAAUACCAAGGCGCUUGAGAGAACUCGGGUGAAGGAACUAGGCAAAAUGGCACCGUAACUUCGGGAGAAGGUGCGCCGGUGAGGGUCAAGGAUUUACUCCGUAAGCCCAUGCCGGUCGAAGAUACCAGGCCGCUGCGACUGUUUAUUAAAAACACAGCACUCUGCAAACACGAAAGUGGACGUAUAGGGUGUGACGCCUGCCCGGUGCCGGAAGGUUAAUUGAUGGGGUUAGCGCAAGCGAAGCUCUUGAUCGAAGCCCCGGUAAACGGCGGCCGUAACUAUAACGGUCCUAAGGUAGCGAAAUUCCUUGUCGGGUAAGUUCCGACCUGCACGAAUGGCGUAACGAUGGCGGCGCUGUCUCCACCCGAGACUCAGUGAAAUUGAAAUCGCUGUGAAGAUGCAGUGUAUCCGCGGCUAGACGGAAAGACCCCGUGAACCUUUACUGUAGCUUUGCACUGGACUUUGAGCCUGCUUGUGUAGGAUAGGUGGGAGGCUUUGAAGUGGGGACGCCAGUUCCCAUGGAGCCAUCCUUGAAAUACCACCCUGGCAUGCUUGAGGUUCUAACUCCGGUCCGUCAUCCGGAUCGAGGACAGUGUAUGGUGGGCAGUUUGACUGGGGCGGUCUCCUCCCAAAGCGUAACGGAGGAGUACGAAGGUGCGCUCAGCGUGGUCGGAAAUCACGCGCAGAGUAUAAAGGCAAAAGCGCGCUUGACUGCGAGACAGACACGUCGAGCAGGUACGAAAGUAGGUCUUAGUGAUCCGGUGGUUCUGUAUGGAAGGGCCAUCGCUCAACGGAUAAAAGGUACUCCGGGGAUAACAGGCUGAUACCGCCCAAGAGUUCAUAUCGACGGCGGUGUUUGGCACCUCGAUGUCGGCUCAUCACAUCCUGGGGCUGAAGCCGGUCCCAAGGGUAUGGCUGUUCGCCAUUUAAAGUGGUACGCGAGCUGGGUUUAGAACGUCGUGAGACAGUUCGGUCCCUAUCUGCCGUGGACGUUUGAGAUUUGAGAGGGGCUGACCUUAGUACGAGAGGACCGGGUUGGACGAACCUCUGGUGUUCCGGUUGUCACGCCAGUGGCACUGCCGGGUAGCUACGUUCGGAAGAGAUAACCGCUGAAAGCAUCUAAGCGGGAAACUCGCCUCGAGAUGAGAUCUCACUGGAGCCUCGAGCUCCCUGAAGGGCCGUCGCAGACUACGACGUUGAUAGGUGGGGUGUGUAAGCGUUGUGAGGCGUUGAGCUAACCCAUACUAAUGGCCCGUGAGGCUUGACCAUAUAACGCCC
rnacentral:rRNA from 1 species